rnacentral:rRNA from 1 species
UACAGAGGUCUCAAGCGUUGUUCGGAUUCCUUGGGCGUAAAGGGUGCGUAGGCGGCGCGGUAAGUCGGGUGUGAAAUCUUGGAGCCUAACUCCGAAACUGCAUUCGAUACUGCCGUGCUUGAGGACUGGAGAGGAGACUGGAAUUUACGGUGUAGCGGUGAAAUGCGUAGAUAUCGUAAGGAAGACCAGUGGCGAAGGCGGGUCUCUGGACAGUUCCUGACGCUGAGGCACGAAGGCCAGGGGAGCAAACGGG